rnacentral:rRNA from 1 species
UACGGAGGUGCAGCGUUAAUCGGAAUUACUGGGCGUAAAGGGCGCGUAGGCGGCUGAUCAAGUCAGGUGUGAAAGCCCACGGCUUAACCGUGUGAAGUGCAUCUGAAACUGGUCGGCUCGAGUAUCGGAGAGGAAAGUGGAAUUCCCGGUGUAGAGGUGAAAUUCGUAGAUAUCGGGAGGAAUACCGGUGGCGAAGGCGACUUUCUGGACGAAUACUGACGCUGAGGCGCGAAAGCGUGGGGAGCAAACAGGAUUAGAAACCCGAGUAGU